AUUCCGUCGUCUUAGUUUGUGCAACCAAGAACAAGGCCAUAAACUGCGUCAUUGUCCUUCCCCACCUCAUUCCCGCGGCUGAUGAUAAAAGCAGAGAGACGGACAGCCACCACAAUCCACCCCAUAUUUAUGAAAAACCAACUCACAUGGCAUUGGCUCUAAACAGCAUAAUCCCCCACACCACAGCUUUAAGCCUACGCACUUCUCUGCCCUCUUCCAAAAUGCCCUCCAGCCCCCAAUUCCAACAGCCUCACAACCGCCGCCAGAGCGGUCAGAUUGUCCGGAGCGCCGCCUCUUCCUCCUCCAACACCGCCGUCUCAGAUGUUAAGCUGCAGCUCCAGGAGAAGGACCACAGCAAUGGCUUCAACCCCACUUCCACGUUUGCUCCUGCGUGGUCCGAAUUUGCCAGAAAUGUGUCCGGUGAAUGGGAUGGCCAUGGAGCGGACUUCACAAAGGAAGGGUAUCCGAUAGAACUUCCCGAGAAUGUAGUGCCUGAAGCUUACAGGGAGUGGGAGGUUAAGGUUUUCGAUUGGCAGACUCAAUGCCCCACUCUUGCUAACCCAGAUGAGCACAUUCUUUUAUACAAGAAUAUAGAGCUACUUCCUACUGUUGGAUGUGAAGCUGAUGCUGCUACUCGAUAUAGAGUCAUUGAGAAGAAUGUUGGUGGUCUGAGUAACGAAGUUUUUGCCUUUGCAUAUCAGUCUAGCGGAUGUUAUGUGUCUGUCUUGCCAAUUCAGGAUAAGGGUACGUAUAAGUUACAGGAGUUGGAGUAUUGCUUGAUCAAUCCUCAAGAUAAAGAGUCUCGGGUGAGAAUAAUUCAGGUCAUCCGCAUAGAGAAUGAGAAGAUGAUGCUGCAGAAUAUUAGAGUUCACUGUGAGAAUUGGUAUGGGCCAUUCAGAAAUGGGGAUCAGUUAGGUGGAUGUGCUAUCCGUGAUUCUGCUUUUGCUUGUACGGCUGCACUGGAAGCUUCAGAAGUUGUUGGAACUUGGCGGGGUCUCAGUGCUGUUGCCAAUUUCCGUGGCACUCAAAAUAAUGUUUUUCAAGAACUUUUAGUCAACAGUGAGCAGAGCUCCAUGAGAGAUGAAAGUGGUCUCGUAUUGCUUCCCAAGCGGCUGUGGUGUUCCGUAAAAGAAAGUAAAGAUGGUGAUACUUGCAGCGAGGUAGGAUGGCUGUUAGAUCAUGGACGAGCUAUCACAUCAAGAUGCACCUUCUCAAGCACAGCAACGCCACAGGAAAUCUCAGUAGUGAAUGAAACUGCAGUUUUGAAGGGCACAUAGACAUUUUGGAUGAACUCAAAUUCGCAAUAUGCAAACACAGAUAUAGGACUCAUGAAAUGUAUCUAAAGUUUUUCUCUUCCUGUAUUUUUUUGUUUGUUGGGAUAUGUUUGAUUUAAUGUAUAGCAAUAAAGGCAUCCACAUGAAUGUAGAAAACUUGUGUCAUUUUUUUUCAAAUUCAUAGUAUACAACAUGCUUUGAAAUCUUUGUACAAAUGAUUUCCAAGCUUAUUUACAAACAAGAUGGUAGCUUUGAUUAGAUAUGAAGUAAACAAAACAUACAAGGUUCCUUAUAUAUGGACGUUUAGGGUGUGUUUGUUUCCCUUCACUAGCCCUCAUUGGACUGGACUAGACUAAUAGUUAGUCCAGUCCCAUGUUUGCUACUUCACAGGACUAGCUUUAGUGGGAGUAAGCCGGCUCGCCUCGACUAAGGAUCAUGCUAGACGGUCUUAGUGAGAGACGUCGCGAACCAUGGGACUAGCUAAUCUUUUUGAUCGCUCUCUGCUCACGUCCUCUACUCUCCUCUCUGCUCGCGUUCUCUCCCUCUCUCCUCGUCCCCAACCCUGAAUCAUGAACAAAGACCUCGAUUCGAGAUGGGAACCGGAAUCGGAAUCAGAAUCGGACUUUUGCAGUGAUUUGCCACACUUUUCUGUCCCCAGAGGGUUCAGUUUGCGAUCUCGCUUGAGUUUUGAUCGAGGAGUUUGUAUUGGGUAGGUAGAUUUGGGGUUUUACAAUCAGCUAAUCGAAAUAUCGAAUUUGAAAUUACUGAAAUUCUGGGAAUAUUGGGGAUUUGUUCUAAUUCAUUGCUCUGAAAUGUAGGGUUUUGGGGUUUUGUAGUUGCAGGAGGAGAAGAUGAAAGUCAACAUCUUGCGUAUCCUUCUCACUGUGUUUAUGUUAUUCUGUUCUUUCUUUCAAACUACUCUAGUUUAUAUACCAUUUGCAACUAGCUCAUGUAAUUUUCUGUACUUUUUAUUCCAAGAUAUUAACUUUGUUGCAUUUAAUCAUAUUGUAGACUGAAUUUUGGCUUGAUAGUUUCAAAUUCCUAUGAUUUUGAUUUUGUUCUUUCUUUCAAAUUUACUAGUUUAUACCAUUUAGAAAUAGCUUUUGUAAUGCUCUUUUCUUUCCCGUCUUUAAACUGUUGCAUCUAAUCGUGGUGGAAUGAAUUUCAGCUUGACGGUAUUGAAUUUCUAUGAUUUGUCAUCCUCUGGAACUAUGAAUAGUUAAUGAGCUGUAGAGUUUUACUACCUUAAUUGUAGUCUAAUGUUAUGAAUGGCGAUCACAAGAUCAGCAUCUCUUAUGUUAGUCAUGAAUCUCUAGCAUAUGCUCACCCUAUUUAUGAUUCGGUGCGAUUAUCUUUUUAACAAUGAUCGUCAUAAUUUGACAAUCCCAUUUGCUCGGUGAUCUUGUUUUAACUUGAAACAUCUUUGAUGGGAAAUGGACGUAUUAUGCAUUUUAUCGUAACUGCUUUCUCAUGACCCUUCUCUCUUUGCGAAUAUCUGCUGGGGAUUUUAAACAGAGUGGCAUGCUGUCGCUUCAUGGACAUGGGAUGCACAAGACGAAACAUGUGGGAUUUGUAGGAUGGCAUUUGAUGGUUGUUGUCCCGAUUGUAAACUCCCUGGGGAUGAUUGCCCGCUAAGUAAGUCGCUAGAAAUUUGAUGUUACCCAUUUGUUUUCAAUUUAUCUACUAUUUUUCCCGAUUGUAAACUCCAUGGGAUGCCCAAGACGAAACAUGCUACCCAUUUGUUUUCAAUUUAUCUGCUAUUUUUCCUUUUAUGAAUUGAUUGAUAAGUUUUUGUAAGUUGAAGUGAUUUUUUUCUUCA